GAGACAGAGUCAAACUUCUGAUGAUUGAGGAUGUUGGUACUGAGGUGACAGUUGUGAUGUCACUCUGGUAGCCCCGCCCUCCUCCUCUUCAUGUACAGGACCAUGCUGACUGCCAGCAGGUCAUCAGGUCGUCACACAACUGAAGACUGUUCACCAUGAUCCUAGCCUUCAUCCUCUGCUCUCUCUGUCUGUCCUGCAUCAAGGGUUCCUCUGCCAGUCCCACAGUUCAGCAGACUCCCUCUGCUCUGAUCAAGAACCUGGGAGACUCUGUUGACAAAGAGAUCCUUUGUUCACACAGCAUUCAAAACUAUGAUUGUAUCCUCUGGUACAAACAACAUUUAGAUGGGGCUCUCCAGCUACUUGGUUAUCUGAAUGUAAAUUUUCCAUAUCCAGAGGAAGAUGUGAAAGGACAAAUCAGCUUUGAGGGAAAUGGGCGUAGCGAGGCAAAGCUCUCCAUCUCCAAACUCUCUCCAAGUGACGGAGCAGUGUAUUUCUGUGCUGCUAGUCUGCACAGUGAUUCACCCUCCCUCUCUUCUCUACAAAAACCCUCCUGUGAUAAGAGUGGUGAUCAGUGUGUGUGAGCAGCCAGUCUGAGGCUGGCUCCCUCUCAACACCUGGGGCUCACGUCUGCCAGGGAAUCAGGAGCAGCACUUUGAUCAACGCUCACACACCACCACACUGGUGAUCUGCUGAUAAAGGUUCAACUGCAGUCUGACUUGUUCUGAGGACACGUCUGAAGAGCCCCACAGAGAAACAGCAUCUAACCUGGUGGAGGAGGUGACAGGACUGGAGGUGGAGAUCAGAGUCACGUAAUUUCCUCCCUCCAGAGAGAGAAGCACAGCUCAGUCAUGUUUCUGGUCAGUUGCUGAGAUGUGUUCAGCUCUGACAUCCUCAUCCAUGAUCUCUCUUGUCAUCCCAGUCUCUGUGUUGCUACUGGGGGCUGCAGGUCUCUCUGAGGGGAGUGAUGUCACCCAGACCCCAAGCAUCCUCUGGUCAAUCAAGGGGCAGCCUGCUGAGAUGGACUGCAGUCACACCAAGGGUGCUUCACACUACCA